GGUUUCCCAUUCACGGCCUCAGCAGGGUACCUGAAGCAGAGGUUUCCGGAACACAUGAUGGACCUUGGAGACACCAUGAGACGAACAGAUUUCCCUAACCACAGGACCCCAUUGUGAUGUGCAGCCUCUCCACAGACCCCAAGGAAUGGACAGUGUCCUCUGAAAAUAGUGAAGAGAGACCAGACCAGAGAUGAUAUGCGCCCCC